AACCAUAGAAACCUGCGGAGUACCUGCGGAGGGAUCAUUAUAGUAUAUGGAAUCUCCAUUCUAUAAACCCACUCUGCGUAUCUUGUAACUGUUGCUUCCAUGGGACUUGGUUCCGCCACACCGGCUUCACGGCUGGUGAGCGCCCAUGGAAGGAGAAACAAAACUCUUCUUUGAAAUGUAGUCAGUCUGAACAAGUUUUUAUAAACGUUAAAACUUUCAACAAGGAUCUCAGAUCGGAAG
rnacentral:misc_RNA from 1 species